rnacentral:rRNA from 1 species
GCAUCCGUAGCUGGCUAAGUUAGUCCCAUGGUAAAUCCACCGAAUUAAUCGUUUGAUGCGGGGGAUACUGCUUGGCUAGGGACGAGAGAGGCAGACGGUAUUCCCGGGGUAGGGGUGAAAUCCUAUAAUCCCGGGAAGACCACCAGUGGCGAAGGCUGUCUGCUAGAACGCGCCCGACGGUGAGGGAUGAAAGCUGGGGGAGCGAACCGGAUUAGAUACCCGGGUAGUCCCAGCUGUAAACGAUGCAGGCUAGGUGUUUGGACGGCCACGUGCCGUUCUAGUGCCGCAGGGAAGCUGUUAAGCCUGCCGCCUGGGGAGUACGAUCGCAAGAUUGAAACUUAAAGGAAUUGGCGGGGGAGCACCACAAGGGGUGAAGCUUGCGGUUUAAUUGGAGUCAACGCCGGAAAUCUCACCGGGAGCGACAGCAGUAUGAAGGCCAGAUUAAAGGUCUUGCCAGACGAGCUGAGAGGAGGUGCAUGGCCGUCGCCAGUUCGUGCCGUGAGGUGUCCUGUUAAGUCAGGCAACGAUCGAGACCCGCGUCCUCUGUUGCAACUAGCCUUGAGCUGGGCACACUGAGGAGACCGCCACUGAUAAAGUGGAGGAAGGAGCGGGCCACGGCAGGUCAGUAUGCCCCGAAUCUCCCGGGCCACACGCGAGCUGCAAUGGCAGGUACAAUGGGUUCCGACCUCGAAAGGGGAAGGCAAUCUCGAAAGCCUGCCGUAGUUGGGAUCGAGGGCUGCAACCCGCCCUCGUGAACAUGGAAUCCCUAGUAAUCGCGUGUCAUUAGCGCGCGGUGAAUACGUCCCUGCUCCUUGCACACACCGCCCGUCGUUCCAUCCGAGCGACUCUUGGGUGAGGCGCCGUCUUUCAUGGCGGUGUCGAAUCUAAGUUUCGUAAGGAGGGAAAAGUCGUAACAAGGUAACCGUAAAGGC